rnacentral:rRNA from 1 species
GGGUUGUGAGGUUAAGCGACUAAGCGUACACGGUGGAUGCCCUGGCAGUCAGAGGCGAUGAAGGACGUGCUAAUCUGCGAAAAGCGUCGGUAAGGUGAUAUGAACCGUUAUAACCGGCGAUGUCCGAAUGGGGAAACCCAGUGCAAUUCGUUGCACUAUCGUUAACUGAAUACAUAGGUUAACGAGGCGAACCGGGGGAACUGAAACAUCUAAGUACCCCGAGGAAAAGAAAUCAACCGAGAUUCCCCCAGUAGCGGCGAGCGAACGGGGAGCAGCCCAGAGUCUGAAUCAGCUUGUGUGUUAGUGGAACGGUCUGGAAAGUCCGACGGUACAGGGUGAUAGUCCCGUACACCAAAAUGCACAGGCUGUGAACUCGAAGAGUAGGGCGGGACACGUGGUAUCCUGUCUGAAUAUGGGGGGACCAUCCUCCAAGGCUAAAUACUCCUGACUGACCGAUAGUGAACCAGUACCGUGAGGGAAAGGCGAAAAGAACCCCGGCGAGGGGAGUGAAAAAGAACCUGAAACCGUGUACGUACAAGCAGUGGGAGCACCUUCGGGUGUGACUGCGUACCUUUUGUAUAAUGGGUCAGCGACUUAUAUUCUGUAGCAAGGUUAACCGUAUAGGGGAGCCGCAGGGAAACCGAGUCUUAACUGGGCGUUAAGUUGCAGGGUAUAGACCCGAAACCCGGUGAUCUAGCCAUGGGCAGGUUGAAGGUUGGGUAACACUAACUGGAGGACCGAACCGACUAAUGUUGAAAAAUUAGCGGAUGACUUGUGGCUGGGGGUGAAAGGCCAAUCAAACCGGGAGAUAGCUGGUUCUCCCCGAAAGCUAUUUAGGUAGCGCCUCGUGAAUUCAUCUUCGGGGGUAGAGCACUGUUUCGGCUAGGGGGUCAUCCCGACUUACCAACCCGAUGCAAACUACGAAUACCGAAGAAUGUUAUCACGGGAGACACACGGCGGGUGCUAACGUCCGUCGUGAAGAGGGAAACAACCCAGACCGCCAGCUAAGGUCCCAAAGUCAUGGUUAAGUGGGAAACGAUGUGGGAAGGCACAGACAGCCAGGAUGUUGGCUUAGAAGCAGCCAUCAUUUAAAGAAAGCGUAAUAGCUCACUGGUCGAGUCGGCCUGCGCGGAAGAUGUAACGGGGCUAAACCAUGCACCGAAGCUGCGGCAGCGACACUAUGUGUUGUUGGGUAGGGGAGCGUUCUGUAAGCCUGCGAAGGUGGCCUGUGAGGGUUGCUGGAGGUAUCAGAAGUGCGAAUGCUGACAUAAGUAACGAUAAAGCGGGUGAAAAGCCCGCUCGCCGGAAGACCAAGGGUUCCUGUCCAACGUUAAUCGGGGCAGGGUGAGUCGACCCCUAAGGCGAGGCCGAAAGGCGUAGUCGAUGGGAAACAGGUUAAUAUUCCUGUACUUGGUGUUACUGCGAAGGGGGGACGGAGAAGGCUAUGUUAGCCGGGCGACGGUUGUCCCGGUUUAAGCAUGUAGGCUG